UACGGAGGGUGCAAGCGUUGUCCGGAUUCAUUGGGUUUAAAGGGUGCGCAGGCGGGACAUUAAGUCAGGGGUGAAAGACGGUUGCUCAACAAUCGCAGUGCCUUUGAUACUGGUGUUCUUGGGUAACCUUGAGGUAGGCGGAAUGGGUCGUGUAGCGGUGAAAUGCAUAGAUACCACCCAGAACUCCGAUUGCGAAGGCAGCCUACUGGAGGUUUACCGACGCUCAGGCACGAAAGCGUGGGGAUCAAACAGG
rnacentral:rRNA from 1 species